GCACGCAGACGUUUGCCAUCUCACACUUUUGCAGCUCAAGAACGCACUUCUUCAAUAAAACUGCAGUACGCAAAGCUGAUGGCCGGAUAAUAUGUGGAGCAUAUGGGGGAAUUGGAACAACAUGAUAGCUGCAUUCUCACCCCUUCAUGCAGGUUCUCCCGGGAACAUACUAAGCUUCAGUCUUCCCCCAUCCGCAGCGCAGUUUUAAGAUGCACAGAGCCGAUAACACACCCCGAAAUAAGCAACAUCCAUGUCUGGAAAAUGUGAGGAUGAGUAAUUAAGACAGCAUUUGCUCCUCAGGGUGCUUGGCAAAGCAGCUUGGGGCUCUCUUCCAUUUGUGCGGAGGGGGGAUAUGGCGAGAUCCGAGCCCACAGGUCUGAUUGGCUCGCGUGGCCUGGGCGAGGCCACUGGGUUAGCCAG